CCCUUAGAUGUUCUGGGCUGCACGCGCGCUACACUGAAGCGUUCAACGAGUAUUCACCUUGCCCGGGAGGGUUGGGUAAUCUUUUGAAAACGCUUCGUGAUGGGGAUAGAUUAUUGCAAUUAUUAAUCUUCAACGAGGAAUGCCUAGUAAACGCAAGUCAUCAGCUUGCAUUGAUUACGUCCCUGCCCUUUGUACACACCGCCCGUCGCUCCUACCGAUUGAAUGAUCCGAUGAAUAUCAUGGAUUGAGGAUGCAAGCAGGUUCGCCUGUCUUCAUCUUCGAGAAGUGAAGUAAAUCUUAUCAUUUAGAGGAAGGAGAAGUCGUAACA
rnacentral:rRNA from 1 species